CCUACGGGGGGCUGCAGUGGGGAAUAUUGGACAAUGGGGGGAACCCUGAUCCAGCCAUGCCGCGUGUGUGAAGAAGGCCCUCGGGUUGUAAAGCACUUUCAGUGAGGAAGAACGCCUGGUGGUUAAUACCCAUCAGGAAAGACAUCACUCACAGAAGAAGCACCGGCUAACUCCGUGCCAGCAGCCGCGGUAAUACGGAGGGUGCGAGCGUUAAUCGGAAUUACUGGGCGUAAAGCGCGCGUAGGUGGCUUGAUAAGCCGGUUGUGAAAGCCCCGGGCUCAACCUGGGAACGGCAUCCGGACCUGUCAAGCUAGAGUGCAGGAGAGGAAGGUAGAAUUCCCGGUGUAGCGGUGAAAUGCGUAGAGAUCGGGAGGAAUACCAGUGGCGAAGGCGGCCUUCUGGACUGACACUGACACUGAGGUGCGAAAGCGUGGGUAGCAAACAGGAUUAGAUACCCGUGUAGUC
rnacentral:rRNA from 1 species